GCACGUGUCGCCUAGAGGCAGGGCACUCGACUUUUAAUCGAGAGGCAUAUAGCCAUCCUGGGUUCGAAUCCCAGUACGUGCA
rnacentral:tRNA from 1 species